ACUUCGGGUAAUCAGCCUUUCGGGUGCGAUUCUGUGGAGUGUGAGGAGCUUAAACACCUUCAUGUUUUGCAUAUUCGUACUCUUGGGUGUACUUGCCCGUGUGGUUGGUUAACAUCAAUUUUGGUGGUCAUAAAAUGACUGGGGGAAUGUAGCUUCGAUCUUGUAUUGAAGUGUUAUAGCCUUCGGUAGAUGUGAUGAUCGAGAUUGAGGAUUGCAACGGAUACCCUUCGGGGCUACCUGUCUGGUCUCUGAUCGUUGCUCUGGUGCCGAAAGCUUGCUUACGGUUAUCAAAGUCGAUGGUCAAUAGGUUAGAACGGGUUAAAUUCGUUAAGGAUGUUGACGUAAUGGCUUUAAACGACCCGUCUUGAAACACGGACCAAGA
rnacentral:rRNA from 1 species